GGCUAUCCUGGCCAUGACAGACUGAGAGGCCAACUGCCUACCAGGACAGGAGCUCUUUGGAGAAAGGACUGGAGGAAGUGGUGAAAAAAGACUAAAACAUGAAUAAUCUUGUGAGUGAACAGGAGGUAACUGAGAGAGGUGUUUAUAAUGAGGUUGUUUCCCUCCUGGCACACAUGGAUGACCAAGAUAAGGACAGAAUUGCCCUCAGGAUUGCCUCUAUAGCUAAGACCAAGCUGGCUAGUGUUGUGAGAGUUCUGCUGGAGAAACUGCAACAGGAUAAGCAAAACAGAGUAGCCAUUUACUAUAUCCUGGAGGGG